UACGAAGGGGGCUAGCGUUGUUCGGAAUUACUGGGCGUAAAGCGCACGUAGGCGGAUAUUUAAGUCAGGGGUGAAAUCCCGCAGCUCAACUGCGGAACUGCCUUUGAUACUGGGUAUCUUGAGUAUGGAAGAGGUGAGUGGAAUUCCGAGUGUAGAGGUGAAAUUCGUAGAUAUUCGGAGGAACACCAGUGGCGAAGGCGGCUCACUGGUCCAUUACUGACGCUGAGGUGCGAAAGCGUGGGGAGCAAAC
rnacentral:rRNA from 2 species